rnacentral:rRNA from 1 species
UACAGAGGCUACGAGCGUUAGGCGGAAUCACUGGGCUUAAAGCGUGUGUAGGUGGAUGGGUAAGUACCUUGUGAAAUCCCACGGCUCAACCGUGGAACUGCUCGGUAUACUGCCUGUCUUGAGGCACUCAGGGGCGAGCGGAACAGAUGGUGGAGCGGUGAAAUGCGUAGAUAUCAUCUGGAACGCCAAUGGUGAAGACAGCUCGCUGGGGGUGUACUGACACUGAGACACGAAAGCCAGGGGAGCAAACGGG